rnacentral:rRNA from 1 species
GGCGGACGGGUGAGUAACGCGUAGGAAUCUACCUGGUAGUGGGGGACAACUCGGGGAAACUCGAGCUAAUACCGCAUACGCCCUACGGGGGAAAGCGGGGGACCUUUGGGCCUCGCGCUAUCAGAUGAGCCUGCGUUGGAUUAGCUAGUUGGUGGGGUAAUGGCCUACCAAGGCGACGAUCCAUAGCUGGUCUGAGAGGAUGAUCAGCCACACCGGGACUGAGACACGGCCCGGACUCCUACGGGAGGCAGCAGUGGGGAAUAUUGCGCAAUGGGCGAAAGCCUGACGCAGCCAUGCCGCGUGUGUGAAGAAGGCCUUCGGGUUGUAAAGCACUUUCAAUUGGGAGGAAAGGUUCACGGCUAAUACCCGUGAGCUGUGACGUUACCUUUAGAAGAAGCACCGGCUAACUCCGUGCCAGCAGCCGCGGUAAUACGGAGGGUGCGAGCGUUAAUCGGAAUUACUGGGCGUAAAGCGCGC